UACGUAGGGGGCAAGCGUUGUCCGGAAUUAUUGGGCGUAAAGAGCUCGUAGGCGGUGUGUCGCGUCGGCCGUGAAAACCUGGGGCUUAACUCUGGGCGUGCGGUCGAUACGGGCAUCACUAGAGUUCGGCAGGGGAGACUGGAAUUCCUGGUGUAGCGGUGAAAUGCGCAGAUAUCAGGAAGAACACCGGUGGCGAAGGCGGGUCUCUGGGCCGAUACUGACGCUGAGGAGCGAAAGCAUGGGUAGCGAACAGG
rnacentral:rRNA from 1 species